GGUUUGAUCAUGGCUCAGAUUGAACGCUGGCGGGAUGCUUUACACAUGCAAGUCGGACGGCAGCACGGACUUCGGUCUGGUGGCGGAGGGCGAACGGGUGAGUAACGGUAUCGGAACGUGCCUAGUAGCGGGGAUAUUACGCGAAAGUUGUGCUAAUACUCAUUAUUCUCUGGGAAGCGGGACCUUCGGGCCUCGCACUAUUAGAGCGGCUGAUAUCGGAUUAGCUAUUGGGGGUGAAGGCUCACCGGCGGCGACACGAUCCGUAGCUGGUUUGAGAGGACGACCAGCCACACUGGGACGAGGAUGACGGCUCCAGACUACGGGAGGCAGCAGUGGGGAAUUUUGGAUAAUGGGGAAACCCUGAUCCAGCCAUCCCGCGUGUGUGCGAUGAAGGCUGCCUUCGGGCUGUGUUAACUUUGGCAGGAAAGAAUCAUACUGGACAGUCAUUCCCAAAAAUCGACGGUACUCAAAAGAAUAAGCACCGGCUAACCACGUGCCAGCAGCCGCGGUAAUACGUAGUGCGUUAAUCGGAACUACGGCGUGCUGUGCGCAGGCGGUUCGGAAAGAAAGAUGUGAAAUCCCAGAGCUUAACUUUGAACUGCAUUUUUAACUACUGAGCUAGAGUGUGUCAGAGGGAGGUGGAAUUCCGCGUGUAGCAGUGAAAUGCGUAGAUAUGCGGAGGAACACCGACAAGAAGGCAGCUCGGGAUAACACUGACGCUCAUGACGAAAGCGUGGGGAUAUAAACAGACAGACACCGGUAGUCCACGCCCUAAACGAUGUCAACUAGUCGUUGGGGCCUCGCUUCCCAGCGCGCCAAUUGCGUGAAUGACCGCCUGGGGAGUACGGUCGCAAGAUUAAAACUCAAAGGAAUUGACGGGGACCGCACAAGCGUGGAUGAUGUGGAUUAAUUGAUGCAACGCGAAAACCUUACCUACCCUUGACAUGUCUGGAAUCCCGAAGAGAUUUGGGAGUGCUCGCAAGAGAACCGGAACACAGGUGCUGCAUGGCUGUCGUCAGCUCGUGUCGUGAGAUGUUGGGUUAAGUCCCGCAACGAGCAACCUUGUCAUUAGUUGCUACGAAAGGGCACUCGAAUGAGACUGCCGGUGACAAACCGAGGAAGGUAAAGGACGUCAAGUCCCCGCGGCCCUUAUGGGCAGGGCUUCACACGUCAUACAAUGGUCGGGACAGAGGGUCGCCAACCCGCGAGGGGGAGCCAAUCCCAGAAACCCGAUCGUAGUCCGAUCGCAGUCUGCAACUCGACUGCGUGAAGUCGGAAUCGCUAGUAAUCGCGGAUCAGCAUGCUGCAGAAUACGUUCAAGUCUGCAUACACGCUCGUCACACCAUGGAGUGGGUCGGCCAGAAGAAGUGAAUAACCCGUGGCGAGGCGAUUACCACGGUAGGAUUCAUGAUCAGUGGUCGUAAAUAAGCGGUAGCCUGAAGACACCGAUCUUGUGGACAACAUGUAAC
rnacentral:rRNA from 1 species